GCUUAGGUGGCUCAGUCAGUGAAGCAUCUGACUUCAGCUCAGGUCAUGAUCUUGUGGUUCGAGGGUUCAAGCCCUGCACUGGGCU
rnacentral:tRNA from 1 species